AGAGUUUGAUCCUGGCUCAGAAUCAACGCUGGCGGCGUGCCUCAGACAUGCAAGUCGAACGAGAAAGUCCCCUUCGGGGGAUCAGUAAAGUGGCGCACGGGUGAGUAACACGUAGGUAAUCUACCUUCGGGUGGGGAAUAACCCAGGGAAACUUGGGCUAACACCGCAUAAUGCAGCGGCACCACAUGGUGACAGUUGUUAAAGCGGGGGAUUUUAGGACCUCGCGCCUGAAGAGGAGCCUGCGGCAGAUUAGCUAGUUGGUAGGGUAACGGCUUACCAAGGCGACGAUCUGUAACCGGCCUGAGAGGGCGGUCGGUCACACUGACACUGACAUACGGGUCAGACUCCUACGGGAGGCAGCAGUCGGGAAUUUUGGGCAAUGGGCGAAAGCCUGACCCAGCAACGCCGCGUGAAGGAUGAAAUCCCUCGGGAUGUAAACUUCGCAAGAAUAGGAAGAAUUAGUAGGGGCUAAUACCCCCUAUGAUGACGGUACUAUUUGUAAGCUCCGGCUAACUCCGUGCCAGCAGCCGCGGUAAUACGGGGGGAGCAAGCGUUGUUCGGAUUUACUGGGCGUAAAGGGCGCGUAGGCGGUAGCACAAGUCAGUUGUGAAAUCUCUGAGCUUAACUCAGAACGGUCAGCUGAUACUGCUUUGCUAGAGUGCGGAAGGGGCAAUCGGAAUUCUUGGUGUAGCGGUGAAAUGCGUAGAUAUCAAGAGGAACACCUGAGGUGAAGACGGGUUGCUGGGCCGACACUGACGCUGAGUGCGCGAAAGCCAGGGGAGCAAACGGGAUUAGAUACCCCGGUAGUCCUGGCCUUAAACGAUGAAUACUUGGUGUCUGGAGUCUCUAUAGCUCCGGGUGCCGUCGCUAACGUUUUUAGUAUUCCGCCUGGGGAGUACGCACGCAAGUGUGAAACUCAAAGGAAUUGACGGGGACCCGCACAAGCGGGGGAGCAUGUGGUUUAAUUCGACGCAACCCGAAAAACCUAACUG
rnacentral:rRNA from 1 species